UUUCAGCUAUAUUCUAGAAAAAUAUUGUGAUAGGUACGUUGAAAAUUCAGUUCACUGCAGUUUAAAUUAAAAGAAACUGCGUCGAAUAGUUUGAGUCUAUUGUACUCGUAUGAGCAGUACGCCGUAUAUUUAAAAAAAAGUGUUUUGUUGCAACUUAACUUACUAAAUUUUAGUGCUAAUGUUUAGCACUAAAAUCUUUAUUUAGAUUCGUGGACUCUGAUAGAGCAAAAUUAUAUACAAAAAAAUCAUCUUUCUACACGGCGCCCUUUUUUAGUCUUUUUUUCAACGAAACUGAUGAAAACAGGCAGAGUAGCGCUUGAGGCUUGACCUCGCGCAUGAGCUAUGCCUGAUUGGCGGUUAGAAAUCCGACCAUAAUCGGACACUGCAACCAUAGAGUAGGACUGCAACCAUGGUAGGUUGGAUCUUUUCCGGGCUCAAGAAUUUACAU